rnacentral:ncRNA from 2 species
GACAUUGUCAGGUGGGGAGUU